AUUUAAAGAGUGCGUAAUAGCUCACUAGUCGAGUGAUUCUGCGCCGAAAAUGUACGGGGGCUAAGCAUAUUACCGAAACUGUGGAUGUGCACUAUGUGCACGUGAUAGGAGAGCGUUCUAAGGGCGGCGAAGUCAGACCGUGAGGACUGGUGGAGCGCUUAGAAGUGAGAAUGCCGGUAUGAGUAGCGAAAGACAGGUGAGAAUCCUGUCCACCGAAUGACUAAGGUUUCCUGGGGAAGGCUCGUCCUCCCAGGGUAAGUCGGGCCCUAAGCCGAGGCCGAGAGGCGUAGGCGAUGGAUAACAGGUUGAGAUUCCUGUACCAGUUAACUGCGUUUGACGAUGGAGGGACGCAGGAGGCUAAGUAAACCGUACGACUGGAAGAGUACGGCCAAGCAGUAAGUUAGGAUGUGAGUCAAAUGUUUACAUCCGCGUUGACAAGCUGUGAUGGGGAGCGAAAUUAAAGUAGCGAAGUUGCCGAUGUCACA
rnacentral:rRNA from 2 species